GAUGAACGCUGGCGGCGUGCCUAAUACAUGCAAGUCGAGCGAACAGACGAGGAGCUUGCUCCUCUGACGUUAGCGGCGGACGGGUGAGUAACACGUGGAUAACCUACCUAUAAGACUGGGAUAACUUCGGGAAACCGGAGCUAAUACCGGAUAAUAUAUUGAACCGCAUGGUUCAAUAGUGAAAGACGGUUUUGCUGUCACUUAUAGAUGGAUCCGCGCCGCAUUAGCUAGUUGGUAAGGUAACGGCUUACCAAGGCAACGAUGCGUAGCCGACCUGAGAGGGUGAUCGGCCACACUGGAACUGAGCCACGGUCCAGACUCCUACGGGAGGCAGCAGUAGGGAAUCUUACGCAAUGGGCGAAAGCCUGACGGAGCAACGCCGCGUGAGUGAUGAAGGUCUUCGGAUCGUAAAACUCUGUUAUUAGGGAAGAACAAAUGUGUAAGUAACUAUGCACGUCUUGACGGUACCUAAUCAGAAAGCCACGGCUAACUACGUG
rnacentral:rRNA from 1 species